AUUGAACGCUGGCGGCAGGCUUAACACAUGCAAGUCGAGCGAGUGGAUUCCCUUCGGGGAUGAAGCUAGCGGCGGACGGGUGAGUAACACGUGGGCAACCUGCCUUAUAGAGGGGGAUAGCCUUCCGAAAGGAAGAUUAAUACCGCAUAACAUCAGAUUAUCGCAUGGUAGACUGAUCAAAGGAGCAAUCCGCUAUAAGAUGGGCCCGCGUCGCAUUAGCUAGUUGGUGAGGUAACGGCUCACCAAGGCGACGAUGCGUAGCCGACCUGAGAGGGUGAUCGGCCACAUUGGGACUGAGACACGGCCCAGACUCCUACGGGAGGCAGCAGUGGGGAAUAUUGCACAAUGGGGGAAACCCUGAUGCAGCAACGCCGCGUGAGUGAUGAAGGCCUUCGGGUUGUAAAGCUCUUUGAUCAGGGACGAUAAUGACGGUACCUGAAGAACAAGCCACGGCUAACUACGUGCCAGCCGCCGCGGUAAGAC
rnacentral:rRNA from 1 species